GACGAACGCCGGCGGCGUGCCUAACACAUGCAAGUCAACUUGACUGAAGGAGCAAUCUGACAGUAGAGUGGCGCAAGGGUGCGUAACGCGUAAGUAACUUGCCCAAGGUAAGGAAUAACGUCGAGAAAUCGGCGCUAAUACCUCAUAAUGCAGCGGAUCCGCAUGGAUAUGUUGUUAAAGGUUUACCGCCUUGGGAUAGGCUUGCGUCUGAUUAGUUAGUUGGUGUGGUAACGGCACACCAAGGCUACGAUCAGUAACUGGUCUGAGAGGAUGAUCAGUCACACUGGAACUGAGACACGGUCCAGACUCCUACGGGAGGCAGCAGUGAGGAAUAUUGGGCAAUGCUCGAAAGAGUGACCCAGCAACGCCGCGUGGAGGA
rnacentral:rRNA from 1 species